rnacentral:rRNA from 1 species
UACGUAGGGUGCAAGCGUUGUCCGGAAUUAUUGGGCGUAAAGAGCGUGUAGGCGGUCAGGUAGGUCCGUUGUGAAAACUCGAGGCUCAACCUCGAGACGCCGAUGGAAACCAUCUGGCUAGAGUCCGGAAGAGGAGAGUGGAAUUCCUGGUGUAGCGGUGAAAUGCGCAGAUAUCAGGAAGAACACCCGUGGCUAAGGCGGCUCUCUAGUACGGUACUGACGCUGAGACGCGAAAGCGUGGGGAGCGAACAGG